UCGUAGUACUACCUUUGUGAUCCCACACUCCUAAUCAUAUAAGCUAAAAUGUUGCACAUUCAAUCUUUGGAAGAUAUAAACAAAACAUAAAUAUAGAUAGAUUAUCUUUCCAUUAGGUUGAGCCAUCGGAUCUAACAAAUGUUUUAAAUGCUACACUCAUGAUCCAUCAACUUUUUCUUGCUAUGCUUAAGGUUAGAGAAGAACAAAUACACUUUUGGUUCUGUUGGUGUUUUCCACCAAUAGGGCCCAUGCACUUGAUCUCUGCCUUGUCUCUAUGAGCAGGACACAUUUUGAGAAACGUGAAGGCGUCUUACAACUCCCAGAUUCCAUCAAGUGAAGAACCGGGAUCUACGAGCACAAACACAAUGGAGAUCAGACACUUAGUUUCCCAAAGGAAAUAUUGAAGAACCUCUGUGUCCGAGUUAGUACCUUGUACACUCCAGCAAACUUCAUGGUGAUAGAGACUGGUACUGAGGAGAGGGCACCCAUCAUCUUAGGGAGGCCAUUCCUAAACACCAGAGCUGUCAUCUACGCUAAUGUUGCCAAGAUCAGUUUCUACAUCAAGGGGGAAAAGGAGACUUUCCUUCAAGAACAAGACUACACAAACUUCAGAGCGAUCCCGACAUGAACCAAGGAAGAGGACCAACAGGAGGAAAGCAAAAGUGGACCGAGUCAGCUAAGAUGGUCACUGCAGCUCAAGGAGGUCAAGAUCGUCGACUCAAGUCGCCUUUCCUAAUCAAGAAGGACGACCCUGGUGUUCCAAUCAUUGAGUGCACAAUCAAUAGAUACUCUUUUCAGAAGACACUCUACGACACCGGAUCUGAUGCCAACAUAAUGGCCGUAGUCACUAAUCAGCUCCUGCAUGAAACCAUGCCCCUACAACCAAGAUACAUUCAGCUCCAGAUGAUUUUCAGGUCAUUGACAUGGGAGAUGACGAAUAUGAUCCACCCACCAUCCUUGGAAGACCGUUCCACAACACUAUCAAAGCCAUCAUCUAUAUUGGAAUCGGAGAAGUCCACAUACACUUCUCCUCUGAGAAGGUAUGCCGCUGUUUUACUGACCCUAACUAUAUAGUUGAAAACUCUAAGGAGGUCAGGACAACACGAAGACAACGCAACCGCAACCAGAGGAGGCAAAUCAUCUAGGACGAAUGGGUAGACUACGAAGGAGAAGUGACAAGGUCUGAAGACAUACAGCUUUAACAGAACUGUCCUGAGGAGACCGUAGCACCGAGUCAGGUGUGGAAAGAGAAGAUAGUUAUACACGAAGAGGAGGCGCCGCCGGACUCACCGACUACGCCAUCCAGCAAAUCCCAGGACGACUGAGAAAACGGAGAGUCCCGUUUGGAGGACUUAAAAACACCGAACGCCUUGCCAAGAGGUAAACUUGGUAGUUAUCCUUUUCUCUUCAAUUAUUUUGUUUAGUUAAUCAGGUUCAUAUCAUCUCGAAAAGAAAAUAAAAAUGUUAAAAAACAGUAAGCCCCAUGUGAGUAUACGAGUGGCAUAAAACCCAUAAGUAUAUUCACUGUGGUGGCGUAAAAAUAAAAUAAAUAUAUUCCUGUCCUAUAAAUAUAAAAAUAUAAAAAUAAAUUUACAAUCCUACUAAAGAGAGUAACAUUUAUUGAGGAGGCUCAACAUGAUAAAGGCUAGAUAUCUACGCUAACACUUAACCAGUUCCACAAAGCUUUGUUGUCUAUUUGAGCUCUACAGAAUUCAAGGAUCAAAGAAGACUAGCAGACGGAGGACAUCCUAAUCGCUGUCGGGGUGCUGUCGACUUUCAAAUACACCUCCAUCACCUGCUAGCUACAUCAGAAGAAAUUACGUCAAAAUUCAGCUUGGGGGAGAGCACCACCAUUUAUCUCGCUAAGUAUUUCUAUCUAUCUUUAUACUUAUAUUAUGUUAGAAUAUUAAAAUACAUAAACUAUGAAAAACCCAAAUAAAGAUUUUGUGCUUUUAUAUAUAUAUCUUUGCUUAGUUUGCUAAAUAAAUAAAUAAAUAAAAUUUGCUAUGAACCCUCAUGAUAAGCUCUCUCAUGGAAAUGAUGAAUAGUUGCUCUGCCAUGACUAGUUUUUAAAAUUGAAAUCUCUCUCAAGUUUAGGCAUAACUGUUAUGAAUUAAGAUUUGCUCUAAACCUGAACUUGUGGGAAGAGUACUUGAUCUAAAGUCUAAGUUGUUAACGGAUAUGAUAUGGGAAGGUUGAGCUGCUGUUUAUCUGUUCCUAGAGAUGCUAGAAUUCUGGAGAAUUUUAUCUUUGAAAAUCUUUAAAAUAACACAUGAUGAGUUCCUGUAUGAUGAGAGUUUAAAUUCCUACCACAGCCAUAUAUACAUGCUUACUAGACUUUGAGCCACAUAUUUACUUUUCACUGCUUAUGAGCAUUGAGUGUGGUCAAGCUGUGUAGACCCUUAGGAGCUUGUCAUGUGGUUAAAAUCAAGAUUCACUUGCACGUUCACUCAUACAUGCUACUUCUACUCCGGAAGUAACAUCCACAUAUAUCCACUCACUUCCAUCUCCAGAGCCACCCAAAAUUAUUCUACUCCUAAUCCGGGAGAGAAUAGCCAAAAAUAUUUUCCUAUCCCUGUUAUUCCCUGUGAAAUAAAUGCUCGAGUUAUCUUGGUUACUACCACUUGCUAUAUUAUUUAAGGAGAUGAGUGCUCUAAAAAAAGAGGAAAAAUACGAGAAAAUAAAAAGGGGCAAGUGCCCGGAACCUCGAAGAAAAUAAAAAGUGAGACGAGAGGUAAAAAUGGACAAGUGUCGGACAGUAGAAUUAGGGGUACAAGAUACCCACCUGAGAGGAAAGAAAAAAAGAAAAUAUAGAGCAUCUCAUUCUCCCCAAAAAGCUUCAAAGUGCAAGAAAGGUAUGUAUCCCCUCAAAAGAGCAAAAGUAGAAUUAGACUUUCACCAUUGUUUUCAUCAUUGUUAUUACCAUCAUCACCAUACACCAUUCACUCGCCACACAUGCACAUCUUGAUUUGACUUAUUGACUUGUUCUUCUGGAUCCAUGGUUUGACUAUGCAAUAAAUGUCUUAUAAGUAUGUAUUAGCUGUCUCCCACCUAUGAGCUCCAGAUAUCAGAACCUUAUUAGAGUAGGGUGAGAGAGAAGGCAAUAUCACUAUGCCUCAUACCAAAAAUAUCACAUACUUUGAGAGAAGGCAUAUACCAUUACUGCCUUGGUAAAGAUCCAGAAAUACCACAAAAGAGAGAUCUGAGAGAGUCAUAUAAGGGAUCUCUGAGUUUUAUUUGAAAAUCUACAAAAACUCCAGAGCUAUAUCUGAUCAAGAAUAAGAGACAUGGCGCUUGACUUGACCGUUCUAUCUUUUAACUGCUCAAGACACAAGUAACGGUUACAAGCCCCAUGGUGAAAGGUAAAAUGAGUAAGUUUUAAGUCUUAACAGUUUAUUCUAACUCAGAGAUGAGAUCUUGCUUGAAUGCGUGUGUACUUUUAAGGCAUGAAACCACUGCAGAAACUCUUGAGUCCAUCCUUGCUCAGGGACGAGCAAGAGGUAAGCUUGGGGGAGUUUGUUGACGGUCCUUAAGUAUCAAAUUUAAUUAUCAAAUAAACAAAGAAAAGGAUCCAAAUGAAAUCAACAUCUAGACUUAGGGUUUUAUCUGACAGAAUUCCACGAGUUUUGGUGUUUGUCUAUUUCUGCAGAGGGUUAUCAGGAAAUACGAAAGAAAGGCCCACAUGUCAGGAUUACAUAGAGAUAUCAACGCACCGCGCAAUUUUCUACCAUCUAGAAGACUCCAGAAGCCAUGAGAUCGAAGCAGAGGCAAAACGGGGCCAGGACCUGGGCGCCCGCCCACCUGCCGAGCCCAAUCAGGACUCUUUCUCUCGGGAGAUCUCCACCGACCUAUUGGAUCCAGAAUAACGUAGUACCACAUCGCCUACCAACCCAAAAACGCAUAGAAGGGGAGGACUAUAUAAGGAGACCCCCUGGCCCCUGGAGAAGACAUGAAGAAAUUAUCAUAGAGAUUGAGGGGUGCCCUCGAAGGAAAACCUCUUCUCUAAUAAUAUUUCUUUUUAGGCUUAGCAACCAAUGUAAAGUAGAAAUAGAUCUUCUAGUUUCUACUAGAUUGAGAGAGAUAGAGUGGAGGUGUAGAUCGGAGGAAGGCCGACCUGUCGGUGUCUACUCCGAGUUGUACCUGCGGGAUCAAGUCUCCUAACCCGAGGCUUGCUUCUAAGAUUCUUCAGUAAUUUGACUUCUAAUUCUAGUAAGUUCUUGUUUUAUUGUUCUUUGGUUUAUUAGUUUACUUUAAUCCUCUUCCGGUUGAGUAUUAGAGUAAUCACUUGCUAGCGUAAACGUGGUGUUUAGGCUAGGGUACUCAUAGAUAUCCCCUGACUAGCUGGACCGUGGUAGUAGCGAGGAACGUGACAUUUCCAAGUUACCUUUGCAGAUCUCAUCUCGUUAGCAGGACGGGUAGGUUUAUAGGUGCGGGUCAAACAUCCUUUGUGUUGUCUAGAUUCCGUGAGCCUCCCCAAUAGAACAGUAGAUCAUCCUUACCCAGGGUUAGAACGAGACUACGGUUGCAGUCUUCUCUAUAUAUCACUCACAUCGAGAAACAUUCUUUGUAGCCUAAUGGGGUAAUAGCAAUAGAUUUGGUUAGUCAGAUGCACCCUUUCUCCCAGUGGUAAAAAUAUAAAUACGAUACUCUGGAAAACCUCCCGGGUGAAAUGCUCACCGAUAUCCGUGCGCUUGCGGAUCAUUUUCUAUUUGCGUUACCAAAUAUCAACAGUCAUCCCCAGCAUGACAUGAGAGACGCGGUAUUGAAAUAUGCAAUUGCUCUUCUAAAUAAUGAAUGGGAUCUGCAAGCGCACAGAUUAAUACCGAUGUAGCAUUUUAACCGGGAAGUAUUCCAGGUAUCGUUAUUUAUAUUUUUACCACUGGGAAGGGAUUAACAAUCAUCAAUAUUGAUUACAGAAUGGAAUAUGAGAUUGAGUAUCUAUCAUUGCAUGUAUAAUUGAGAACAUUUAUCUAAUUCUUUCAUACAGGGAUAAGUGUCACAUAAAAGAUAUAUGAAAUAAUGAAUAGUGACAAAGAUAAUUAAUCUGAUCAGCAUAACUUAGCCACAUAAUAAAUAUGAUAAGCACCUCAAUUAGAUAUUCUAGAAAGUCAUUAGCAUGGAAUUAGAACGAACUACAAGAAUAUUUCCUAAGUUAUUCUCAACUAUAUAGUCUAGCAUUAUCAUAGUUAGUGCAAGCAUACUUAGCAAUCAUUGUGAGACAAGACUAUGCCCAUGCAUAGUGAUAUUAGCAAGGUAAACGAGAAACAUAGCAAUCACUCCCCUGUAAUAAUGUUGCUCUGCCUGCCCAAUACAUGAGAGGGGGACUAUAUAAGAAUCAAUGAAGCUGUCACUAUCACGAACUACCCCACGAUCUGGCAUAUUGGGUACAAUCGCAGAUAAAUACGGUAUAAGCACCACGCCUACACAAUAUCUUUCAUUUACCCAUGGAUCUGAUGGAUAAACGCUAUACGAUCCUAAGCAUGUAUAUAAAUCCAAUCUAACUAAGCCAAGUAUAUAACCAUGAUAAACUAAGAACAAUAUAAUCUUGAAUAUAAACAAGUAGAGCAAAGUCAUAAGCAAUAUAUUGAAGUAGAACAAAGUCAUAUUCAUAAUAUUGAAGAACAAAGAUAAUUAGAAGAACACUUAGAAGCACAAUUAGAGAAUUACCAAGAAUCCUCUUGACAGAUCCGGAAACCAAUCGAAGAUUGACUCCUUCUAGUUCUAAUCCUAUGUAGCUAUGCUAAUCUAGAUAUCUAAUUGAUGUGGUGGCUCUAAUCUUGAUCAGAGGCUUCUUCUCCCUUGAGAAUAAUGAAUUAGGGUUGAGAGGCUCUCUCCUCCAGGGGCUAGGGGGUCUGGUUUUAUAGUCCCUUCAAGUGAAUGUGGGCCGUUGGAUCAAACCGACAUUGAUUGAACGGUUAUCCUUGAUCCUUUAGGUCGGUGGAGAUUAGUCCCGAAAGAGAGUCCUGUUUGGACUCCAGGAGGGGUGGGCGCCCAGGUCAACUAGGCGGGCGCCCAGUGCCUGGCCCCGUUCGGCCUCCGCUUCCUUCCCAUGGCUUCUGGAGUCUUCUAGAUGUAAGAUAAUUGCGCGGCACGUUGAUAUCUCUAUGUAAUCCCGACGUGUGGGCCUUUCUUCCGUAUUUCCUGAUAACCCCCUACAGAAAUAGACAAACACCAAAACUCGUGGAAUUCUGUCAGAUAAAACCCUAAGUCUGGAUGUUGAUUUCAUUUGGAUCCUUUUCUUUGUUUAUUUGAUAAUUAAAUUUCAUACUUAAGGACCAUCAACAUGAGGCUCACAUAACUGAUGAAGGCAUCCUUAGUGCCUCCGUGAUAUCGCAAUUUACAUGGGUUGUCGCAAGCGGCACAAGCUCCUUUGGGUACAACCACACACACCAGUUUGUAGGCCUCGAUGCCUCCACAUCCUAUUUUGCAAUGUUGAAGUCAUAGAAGUUGAACUCAAGCGAAUUACAGGGUUCGUCAUCGUUGUUAUGACGACGAGGAGGUUGUCGUCCUUAUCGCAUAUGGUGAGCUCGUCAAUGUUGGCCUUUGAAAGAGCAUCUACCCUAAUGAUUUCGGUGAUUAAUGACAAUGUUGAUUACUGUGACUAACGUGUGUUUUGCAGAGGCAAAGUCAUUAGUAAGGUCAUGGUAAUAGGUACUCGAUGAACAGGGACGUACAUGCCUACUUAAUAGUGGAAAUCGUUUUGGUUUUCAAAGGAUGGAUGGACAUCGUCAAGACUAGACUAGGUCUAGGUGCCAUAUGAUGAAGAAGGGCACUUAGAGUUGUUUAGGACUUUGUUUUCCUUUGACCGUACUAUUAAGAGGGGCUUUGAUCAAGUAGCUUGACUUAGGCAAGGCUUUAGGUUUAGGUGUGGUGCACACUUGGUAACCUAGCACUAGGCAGCUCAGAGAUAGUCCUUGGAUCGAGAGGAACCAACUUCGUUUUGGAACGGUCGCGUUUCGACGAAGUUAGGGUGCCUAAGUAGGCACUGGACGCUGCAUCGGACGCUCUGUGAGUGCGUCCGGUGAGGUCCUUUAGCCGUUGGAGUGUUUGGUGCUUAGGGUUAGGCACCGGACGCUAUCACCGGACUCACCGGGCAGCGUCCGGUCUCAUACCCAGGGAGUAUGUAAACUUGCCCUAAGCACCGGACGCUAGCACCGGACGCACCGAGUAGCAUCCGGUCUUAAACUCAGGGAGUUUGUAAAACUCCUUGGAGCACCGGACGGUGCCACCGGACGCUAGGAAGUAGCGUUCGGUGACCUGUCAAACACAGGUACAGUUAGCCGUUGGGUGUCACCGGAUGCUCGGUGCAGAGCGUCCGGUGCAACAUCAACAGCGUCCGGUGACCCCGUUUUCAGUGGAAAAUAGUUGGCCGACCCUUGAACUUCAUGGGGUGUAUUUAUACUCCUCCACCUCAUCCAUGAGAGGUCUCUUGCCCAUUUGAACAUCUGAGAAACUUGUUGUGGAGCAAGAGAGUAGCAAUAGCCUAGAGAGGAUUGAGUUUUGAGAGAUUUCUUGUGAGAAUCCUUCUCUAGUUGAAUUCCAAGAGUCAAGUGUGCAUCCACCACUCUCUAGUGCCUUGUUUGGGUCAAGUGAGAGUUCUUUGCUUGUUACUCUUGGUGAUCGCUAUCACCUAGACGGUUCGGUGGUGAUUGGAGGCACGAAGACCGCCCAGAGUUUUUGUGGGUGGCUCGUGUCAAGCUUGUGAGCAGUUUUGGGCGAUUCACUGAGACGGAGUGUCGAUGAAUCAGCCCGUAGAGAGCACUUGGUCCUUGCACGGACCAAGGGGGAGCAAGACCCUUGCGCGGGUGCUCCAACGAGGACUAGUGGAGAGUGGUGACUCUCCGAUACCUCGGCAAAACAUCGCCGAACACUUUCUUCCACUACUCCUUUACUUUCUAGCAUUUACUUUGUGUUUUUACAUUCCUAGAAUUGCCAUGCUAGAAUAGGAUUGGAACUAGGUUGCAAAUCUUUUUAUCCGGUAGCUCUCUAGUCACACUAGGCACAAGGGGUUGAAUUGGAGCUUAUAGGUUGCUUAAAUUUUUAGAGAAGCCCAAUUCACGCCCCCUCUUGGGCAUCUUGAUCCUUUCAAUUAGUAUCCGAGCAUAGUGCUCAUUAUUUAGGCUUCACCGCCUAGAGAAAGAUGUCUAACGGGGAUGGACCGCCACCCAUGUUCGAUGGGGAUGACUUCCCGUAUUGGAAAAUACGGAUGGUGUCAUACCUUGAGGCAUGUGACUCAAAGUGCCUAAAAGCCGCGACCGAAGGGUUUACCCCUCCGGCAAAAGACACCGUUGUUACUCCACAAGAACAAGAAAACGAAAAGUGGAAUGCAAAGGCCAAAAACCAUAUCUUUAGAGGUCUUUGCAAAGAGGUGUUCAACCGCGUUCGGAACCACAAAACCGCCCAUGCUCUAUGGAAGGAACUUUGUGCGCUCCAUGAGGGAUCAAAGAGUGAACAUGAGGAACGCUAUCACCUUGUGAUGAACAAGCUUAAUACAUUUGAGAUGCUUCCUAGAGAAAAUGCUAAUGAAAUGUAUUCUCGCUUGAAUGUCAUUGUAGAGGAGAUAAAUGGACUUGGGCUCACUCAAAUGAGUGCGGUGGAUGUUGCAAGAAAGAUACUAUGUGUGCUUCCCAUUGAGAAAUAUGGGCACAUAGUAACCGUGCUUCAUCAAGGCGAUCUCUCCACCGCUACACCAACGGCCAUAUUGGGGAAGAUCAAUGCUCAUGAGAUGUAUAUGCACAUGAACGAGAAGAUUGAAGUUGAAGUCAUCAACUUCAAGUGAUGAUGAUGCAUCCAAGGAGAAGAAAUACUUUGCCCUCAAAGCUUCUCACAAGGGAAAAGCCAAGAAGAUUGAAGUUGAGUCAUCAACUUCAAGUGAUGAUGAUGCAUCCAUUGCCCUCUUGGUGAGAAGAACCACCAAGAUGUUGAAGAAGCUCAACAAGAAUGGAGUCAACUUCGACUCCAAGAAGAAGAAGUUCUUCACAAGUAGCAAGAGAAAGCCCAUCUCCGAGAUGGAUUGCUACAAUUGUGGUGAUCUUGGUCAUCUUGCUCACCAAUGUCCAAAGCCCAAGAAGGACAAGUACAAGAAGAAGAACAAAGAGCAUGAUGACUCAAGUGAUGAUGAGAAGAAUGACAAGAAGCAACACAAGAAGAAAGGUGGCAAGAAGAAGGAGUACCACAAGAAGAAGAAUGGCAAGGCUUACAUUGUUGGUGAUUGCCUCACCGACAUUGAGAGCUCAAGUGGUGACUCCUAUUGAUGGUCCUUAAUGCUCAUAUUUAAUCAUCAACUAAUCAUGGAAAAGGAUCUAAAUGGAACCAACACCUAGACUUAGGGUUUUAUCUGACAGAAUUCCAUGAGUUUUGGUGUUUAUCUAUUUCUGCAGGGGGUUAUCAGGAAAUAUGGAAGAAAGGCCCACACGUCGGGUUUACAUAGAGGUAUUAACGUGCCGCGCAAUUUUCUACCAUCUAGAAGACUCCAGAAGCCACGGGAACAAACGGGAAGGUAAUCGGGCUCGGAGGCAGGGCGCCCACCCUACUCUCCUGGGCGCCCGCCCACCUACAGUGCCCAAACAGAGUCCAAUUCGGGGAUCACGCUCCACCAACCUAAAGGAUCAAGGAAAACCAUGCGAUUAAUGUCGGUUUGAUCUAACGGCCCAUAUUCACUUGAAGGGACUAUAAAACCAGACCCCCUAGCCCCUGGAGAUCAUACCUCUUCUACAGAAUCAAAGUUAGGGUUUCAAUUCUUCAUCCAAGUAGAGAGGAUCCCUCUUGUUCUUCUAGUUCUACCUCUAGUUCAUCUAGAUCUAGUUCUAGUUCAUCUAGUUCUAGUUCUAGUUCCUCUAGUUCUAGUUCUUGUUAGUUCUAGUUGUAAUCUAGAAAAUAGGGAGAGAGAAGAGGAGAGCGGAGGAGGAGGAGCCGGAUCUGUCAGAUCUUCCUCAACAUUGUACUUUUGCAGGUUUGGUUCGUUCUUCAUCGUUCUCUAGGUUCUUCAAUUCAUAAUUCCUGAGUUCUCUAAUUACUUUUAUUUACAUUCAAGUUAUUUAUUGGAUUCCCGCUUGCAUCAAGUGCUCUAAUCUUUGAAACAUUAGAGUAGUAAUUAAUAGAUUAGACGUGGUGUUUAGUCUUGCAAAUACCUGGAAUUGCACCCAAUCCUGCGGAUUGUUGUGGUAGCCUUAGGGUAGUGACAGCCCUAACGGUCGACGUAUUCCACCUCGUUCGGAUCGGUGUUUGUAGGACCGUAGUCGGAGCUUCCUAGCCCCCUUCUCAUCUCUUUCUGUGGUUAGUGUUCUGAUGUCCCGAAAUAGAUAAUCUUGAAGUAAUUCUUGAUUAUUAGAUCAACUAAAGAACUCUUAGGAAACUUCCUCUCUUCCCACCAAAAAUAAUUAUAUAGUUAUCCUUGGGCGAUCUUGGAUCUUAAUUAGUACACUCACGUUCUCUGUGGAAAAUCGAUACUCUGGAAUACUCCCGGGUGAAAGCUACAUCGGUAUCCGUGCGCUUGCGGAUUUUUCUGUUUGCGUUUAAAAUACCCAACAAGCUUUCUGGCACCGUUGCCGGGGAACGGUAGCUGUGCUAGUUUCGAACCAAGUCGUCCGUGUAUCCUUUUUCUUUUCCUUUUUUACCACACUCACCUUAUCAUUUUCACCAAACCACAUGGAUUUCACUCUAAGCAUUAAUGAGCAUGGAAUUUAUUUCAUAUCCACUUCAUUUACUCCACGCUCAUAUGCAACAUCUUCACAAUCCAUUGGUCUCUCCAACAUCACCACAUUCGAGAUCUCCAACCCCCUCUUCCUUUCUAUUCAUAAAAACUUUAAAAGGGCGGUUGUCGAUGCAUAUGUCUAUAUUAAAUAUUGCAGAUCUCGUUGAGUUGAUCUUGAUAUAGGUCAGCGUUGGAGGGGAAACCACUUCGCCGACAUAAAUUGAUGGUUUCCCAAGGACAAGCUUAGUGUCCUAAAACAAGCACUGAUCAGAUCGUAACAUGAGCUUUUAAUUAUUUGCAACACUACCUUGUGUAUUGAGCAUAUAAGGACAAUUGUAAAAAUAUCCCUUUGGGUAUUCUUGUCACUAACCUUUCUAGGAUUGGAGCAAGAAGAUCGGAUGAAUGACAAGCACAAGGUAUGUACAACCAAUCAUCAUACAACAUUGAAUUAAAUUCAUCCAAACUUGAAUUUUGCAAAAUUCAAGCUUGGGGGAGUACUUUAUAUAAAAACAUCAUUUGCCAUGUUGCUAUGUUGGUUGUCCCUACCUUUGAGACAUGCUCAAUUUGUUAAAUAGUAAUCACACUACUUCAUCUCCACUUGAGUAGAUCUCUAUAAAAGCCAUCACGCUAUGUUUGUUUAUCCUAGUAAGUGUUUGUUUGGAAUUACUGUACAUACUUCUAUUUGUUUUUAAAUUAAGCAUGGUGCUUAGGUUAAACAGCCUUCCUUAAUCUAAUUAGACAUGGAGUUUAGUUUGGUUAUUGAACUAAAAACGACUUGUGUAGACAUUGGUAUAUUUUGUUGGACUAACCCCUGCAGGAAAGCUUUCAAUAUCGACCUGGGAAGUCCUGAGAUAAACUCACAUUGGAGACAAAGAGAGACACACAUGAAGUUUAACAAUUUACACAAGGAAGGCAUAGCUCACAAGAGAUGAUCCAUGGAGGGUGCCACAAACACAAUGCACAACCGCUAAGAGAGGAAAGCUUCCACAAGGUGAUACUGUACCAUCACUCUUCAAGUAAGGUAACAUCUUAAAGUACUUGACUAUCACUUCUAUAAGCUUCUCCUUGGUUCUGGCGUUCACAUGAAUAAAAGAGACAAACAUGUAUGAUCUACAACUCUAGAUUAACCAACCCAAUCGAUUCAACAUGUUUAGUCCUUCCACCUUUGUGAUUCCACACUCCUAAUCAUAUUAGCUAAAAUGUUGCACACUCAAUCUUUGGAAGAUAUAAACAAAACAUAUAUAUAGAUAGAUUAUUUUUCUAUAAGGGGAUUAUUUUUCUAUAAGGUUGAGCAAUCUAAUGUGACAAAUGUUAAAUACUACACUCAUGAUUUUAUUAUCCAUCAACUUUGUCUUGCUCACUAUGCUUGAGGUUAGAGAAGAACAAAUACACUUUUGGUUCUGUUGGUGUUUUCCACCAAUAGGGCCCAUGCACUUGAUCUCUGCCUUGUCUCUAUGAGUAGGUACACUUCGAGCAAAAUAUGAAGGAGUUUUACAACUCCCAGACUCCACCAAGUGAAGAACCUAGAUAUAUGAGCACAAACACGCUGGAGAUACUGGACACUCAUGCAAACACUGCCCUGAGAUGCUUGAGGAUGUAACUACUGGAGUAACCCCGUUGUGGAAGUAAUUACUGACCUUCUACUGGUCAAGAGAGACAAUCUAGGACGCCCCGUCAUCCCGAUCUCCAUCGGCAUGGUGGACUUCCUAGAAGCACUCUGCGACUUUGGCUCCAGCGUCAACAUUAUACCCAGGGGAGGCCAUUCCUGAACACCUCGGGAGUUGUCAUCUACGCUAGUGCUGCCAAGAUCAGUUUCUACAUCAAGGGGAAGAAGGAGACGUUUUCCUUCAAGAAACAAGACUACACAAAUCCCAGAGCAAUCCCGACAUGAACCAAGGAAGAGGACCAACAGGAGAAACAAGAACAAGCAAAUGUGUACCGAGUCAGCUAAGAUGGUCACUGCAGCUCAAGGAGGUCAAGAUCGUCAACUCAAGUCACCUUUCUUGAUCAAGAAGGACGACCCUGGUGUUCCAAGCAUCGAGUGCACAAUCAACGGAUAUUCUUUUCAGAAGACACUCUACGACACCGGAUCUAACGUCAACAUAAUGGCCGCAGUCACUUAUCAGCUCCUGCAUGGAACCAUGUCCCUACAACCAACAUACAUUCAGCUCUAGAUGAUUUUAAGGUUAUUGACAUGGGAGAAGACGAGUACAAUCCACCCAUCACCAUUGGGAGACUGUUCCUCAGCACCGUUAAAGCAAUCAUCUACAUUGGAACCAGAGAAGUCCACAUACACUUCCCCUCUGAGAAGGUCAGGACAAGAAGAAGACGACGCAACCACAAUCAGAGAAGGCAAAUCAUCAAGGACGGAUGGGUAGACUAUGAUGGAGAAGUUGUAUGGUCUGAAGACAUAUAACUUGAACAGAACUAUCCUGAGGAGACCGUAGCAUCGAGUCAGGUGUGGAGAAAAAAGAUAGUUAUACAUGAAGAGCAGGCUCCACCGGAACCAACGACUACGCCAUCCAGCAAAUCCCAGGACGACUGAGAAAAUGGAGAGUCCCGUUCGGAGGACUUAAAAACACCGAACGCCUUGCCAAGAGGUAAACUUGGUAGUUAUCUUUUUCCUUUCAACUAUUUAAAAUAGUUUGCUUAGUUAAUUAGGUACAUAUCAUCUUGAAAAGAAAAUAAAAAUGUUAAAAAUAGUAAGCCCCAUGUGAGUAUGCUCAUGGCAUAAAACCCAUAAGUACAUCCACGGUGGUGGCGUAAAAAUGAAAUAAGUAUAUUCCUGUCCUAUAAAAAAUUAAAUUAUAAAAAUAAAUUUAUGAUCCUACUAAAGAGAGUAAUAUUUAUUGAGGAGGCUCAAUAUGAUAAAGGCUAGAUAUUUAUGCUAACACUUAACUAGUUCCACAAAGCUUUGUUGUCUAUUUGAGCUCCACAGAAUUCAAGGAUCAAAGAAGACUAGCAGACGGAGGACAUCCUAAUCGCUGUCAGGGUGCUGCUGACAUUCAAAUACACCUCCACCACUUGCUAGCUACAUUAGAAGAAACUACGUCAAAAUCCAGCUUGGGGGAGAGCACCCCCAUUUAUCCAGCUAAGUAUUCUACUCACGUUUAUACUUUACUCUAAUAAUAAAAAGAUACAUAAUCAUAGAAACCCAAAUAAAGAUUUUGUGCUUAUAUAUAUAUAUCUUUGCUUAGUUUGCUAAAUAAAUAAAUAAGUAAAGUUUGCUAUGAACCCUCAUGAUAAGCUCUCACAUGGAAAUGAUGAAUAGUUGCUCUGCCAUGACUAGUUCUCAAAAUUGAAAUCUCUCUCAAGUUUAGGAAUGACUGUUAUUAAUUAAGAUUUGCUCUAAACCUGAACUUGUGGGAAGAGUACUUGAUCUGAAGUCCAUGUCGUUAACGGAUAUGAUAUGGGAAGGUUGAGCUGCUGUUUAUCUGUUCCUAGAGAUGCUAGAAUUCUAGAGAAUUUUAUCUUUGAAAAUCUUUAAAAUGUUGCAUGAUGAGUUCCUGUAUGAUGAGAGUUUAAAUUCCUACCACAGCCAUAUAUACAUGCUUGUUAGACUAUGAACCACACAUUUACUUUUUACUGCUUAUGAGCAUUGAGUGUGGUCAAGCUGUGUAGACCCUUAGGAGCUUGUCAUGUGGUUAAAUCAAGAUUCACUUGCACGUUCAUCACACAUGCUACUUCUACUCCAGAAGUACCAUCCACAUAUAUCCAUCCAUUUCCAUCUCCAGAACCACCCAAAAAUAUUCUACUCCUAAUCCGGGAGAGAAUAGCCAAAAACAUUCUCCUAUUUAUGUUUUUCCCUGUGAAAUAAAUGCUCAAGUUAUCUUGGUUACUACCACUUGCUAUAUUAUUUCAGGAGAUGAGUGCUCUAAAAAAAGAAAGAAAAAAAAAGAAUACGAGGAAAUAAAAAGGGGCAAGUGCCCGGAACCUCGAAAGAAAAGAAAAAGUGAGACGAGAGGUAAAAAUGGACAAGUGUCCGACAGUAGAAUUAGGGGUACAAGAUACCCACCUGAGAGAAAAGAAAAAGAAAAUAUAGAGCAUCUCAUUCUCCUCAAAAAGUUUCAAAAGGGCAAGAAAGGUAUGUAUCCCCUCAAAAGAGCACAAGUAGAAUUAGACAUGCACCAUUGUUAUCACCAUCAUCACCAUACACCAUUCAUUCGCCACACAUGCACAUCUUGAUUUGACUUAUUGACUUGUUCUUCUGGAUCCAUGGUUUGACUAUGCAAUAAAUGUCUUGUAAGUAUGUAUUGGCUGUCUCCCACCUAUGAUUCUCCAGAUAUCAAAACCGUAUUAGAGUAGGGUGAGAGAGAAGGCAAUACCACUAUGCCUUAUACCACAAAUACCACAUACUUUGAGAGAAGGCAUACACCAUUACUGCCUUGGUAAGGAUCCAGAAAUACCACAAAAGGGAGACUAGACAGAGUCAUACAAGGAAUCUUUGAGUUUUAUUUGAAAAUCUGCAAAAACUCUAGAGCUAUAGUUAAUCGAAGAGCAAGAGACAUGGCGCUUGACUAGACCGUUCUAUCUUUUAACUACUCAAGACACAAGUGACGGUUGCAAGCCCCAUGGUGGAAGGUAAAAUGAGUAAGUUUAAAUCUUAACAGUUUACCCAAACCUAGAGAUAAGAUCUUGUUGAACGCAUGUGUAUCUUUAAGGCAUGAAACCACUGCAGAAACUCUUGAGUUCAUCUUUGCUCAGGGACGAGCAAAGGUUAAGCUUGGGGGAGCUUGUUGACGGUCCUUAAUGCUCAUAUUUAAUCAUCAACUAAUCAUGGAAAAGGAUCUAAAUGGAACCAACACCUAGACUUAGGGUUUUAUCUGACAGAAUUCCACGAGUUUCGGUGUUUGUCUAUUUCUGCAGGGGGUUAUCAGGAAAUAUGGAAGAAAGGCCCACAUGUCGGGUUUACAUAGAGGUAUUAACGUGCUGCACAAUUUUAUACCAUCUAGAAGACUCCAGAAGCCACAGGAACGAACGGGAAGGUAAUCGGGCUCGGAGGCAGGGCGCCCGCCCUACUCUCCUGGGCGCCCGCCCACCUACAGUGCCCAAAGAGAGUCCAAUUCGGGGAUCACGCUCCACCGACCUAAAGGAUCAAGGAAAACCAUGCGAUUAAUGUCGGUUUGAUCCAACGGCCCAUAUUCACUUGAAGGGACUAUAAAACCAGACCCCCUGGCCCCUGGAGAUCAUACCUCUUCUACAGAAUCAAAGUUAGGGUUUCAAUUCUUUAUCCAAGUAGAGAGGAUCCCUCUUGUUCUUCUAGUUCUACCUCUAGUUCUAGUUCAUCUAGUUCUAGUUCUAGUUCCUCUAGUUCUAGUUCUAGUUAGUUCUAGUUGUAAUCUAGAAAAUAGGGAGAGAGAAGAGGAGAGCGGAGGAGGAGGAGCCAGAUCUGUCGGAUCUUCCUCAUCAUUGUACUUUUGCAGCAACUGGUUCGUUCUUCAUCGUUCUCUAGGUUCUUCAAUUCAUAAUUCCUGAGUUCUCUAAUUACUUUUAUUUACAUUCAAGUUAUUUAUUGGAUUCCCGCUUGCAUCAAGUGCUCUAAUCUUUGAAACAUUAGAGUAGUAAUUAAUAGAUUAGACGUGGUGUUUAGUCUUGCAAUUACCUGGAAUUGCACCCAAUCCUGCGGAUUGUUGUGGUAGCCUUAGGGUAGUGACAGCCCUAACGGUCGACGUAUUCCACCUCGUUCGGAUCGGUGUUUGUAGGACCGUAGUCGGAGCUUCCUAGCCCCCUUCUCAUCUCUUUCUGUGGUUAGUGUUCUGAUGUCCCGAAAUAGAUAAUCUUGAAGUAAUUCUUGAUUAUUAGAUUAACUAAAGAACUCUCAGGAAACUUCCUCUCUUCCCACCAAAUAUAAUUAUAUAGUUAUCCUUGGGCAAUCUUGGAUCUUAAUUAGUACACUCACGUUCUCUGUGGAAAAUCGAUACUCUGAAAUACUCCCGGGUGAAAGCUACAUCGGUAUCCGUGCGCUUGCGGAUUUUUCUGUUUGCGUUUAAAAUACCCAACAACUCCUCCGGCAAUGAGAGUGAUGAUGAGAAGGUUGCCGCCAUUGCCAUUGAUGCUUCAUCACCAUCAUCUUCACCACCAUCUACAUCCUCUACACACCUAUGCCUCAUGGCUAAGGGUGACCGGAAGGUACAAAGUGAGGAUGAGAGUAGUGAGAGUGAUAGUGAAUAUGAAUCACCUUCUUAUGAUGAACUUGUAAAAUAGCUAAACAAAUACACAAAAGUCAUAAGAAAGACUAGAAGUGAAAAUGAGAAACUUGAACUUGAAAAUGAAUCACUUCUAGCAAAGCUUAAAUCUAGUUAUGAGCUUAGAGACCAAAAUGAGAUCAUGACCACCAAACUCAAGGAGCUCAAACUCUCUUUAAAAGAGCUCAAAGAAAAACAUGAUAAACUUGAGAGUAUUCAUGAUGAGCUUAUCACUAGAUAUAGAGCAAUGAAGGAAGAGCUAACAACUCUAAAAGCAAACUAUGACAACCUUGAGAUAGCUUAUGAACUUGCAAUUGAUGAAACACAUGUUGCUACUAACCAUGUUGCUAAGCUUGAUGUAGCCACAUCUUGUGAUGACUUACUUGUGGAGAGCACAAGCAAAUGUGUUGAUUGCAAGGGCAAGAAAGUGGUAGAGGCCGAGAGCUAUGAGGACACUAUCAAACUCAAGGAAGAAAUUGUCAUGCUCAAGAAAGAGUUACAAGAGCAAGCCAAGCACAAAACAAUUGUGAUUGAGUCACUUGAUCAAGACAAGAAGCUCGCAUAUGAGAACAAGGUACUCAAGGAAGAAAAUCAAUAUCUCAAGCUUGGUUUGAUGUAUGACAAACAGGAAGAAGAUGAGACAGUCAUCUUAGAUGAGUUAGCAAGCAACAAUGACCCAAUCAUCAAGAAGCUAACUCAAGAGAAUAGCAAGCUCAAGAAAGAGAAGGAACAUCCAACCAAGGGGUUAGCAAAGUUCACAAAAGGGAAGGACCUUCAAAGUGAGCUAUUCAUGAACACCAUCAUGAAGAUGGACAAGAGUGGGAUUGGUUACAAAGCUCAUCAAACAAAGCUCAUCAAGUCACUAACUACUCAUUAUCAACCAAGCAAGCCAAAGCCAAAAAGAUGCUUUGAGUGUGGACAAGAAGGACACUUUCCUCAUGAGUGUGAGGCACCACUACCACCACCCUUGCCCAAGCAUGCUAGACCAUUUGCCUUCAAUGCUCACUACAUUGUAAGGAAAGACAAGAGUGGCAAGGUCAAGGUUAGCUUCAUGGGGCCGCCCAACAAGCAAAGGCCAAAGAAGAUUUGGGUGCCAAAACAACUAGUAGAGAAGGUCAAGGGCCCUAAGCAAAUGUGGGUCCCUAAAUCUCAAGCGUGAUAGUGAUUGCACUCAACAUAUGACCGGAGAUCACAUUGGGUAAUCGAUAGUGGUUGCACUCAACAUAUGACCGGAGAUCCCCGAAUGUUCACCUCACUUGAUGAAGAUGUUGACAACCAAGAGAAGAUCACAUUUGGUGACAAUUCAAAAGACAAGGUCAAGGGUCUAGGAAAGGUUGUGAUAUCAAAUGACAACUCCAUCACCAAUGUGCUCUAUGUGCAAUCAUUAAGUUUCAAUUUGCUCUCGGUUGGACAACUUUGUGAUCUUGGUUUUGAAUGUCUAUUCAAGAAGAAGGAAGUAAUAGUGACCAAGGAGGAUGACAAUGAAAUGGUAUUCAAAGGCUUCCGACAAAACAACUUAAAUGUAGUUGAUUUCUCAUCCGAUGAAGUUGAUGUCAAGACUUGCUUAUUCACCAAGACCUCUCUUGGGUAGUUGUGGCAUAGAAGGUUAGCACAUGUUGGAAUGGGUACACUCAAGAAGUUGAUGAAGAAAUAAUUGAUUAGAGGCUUGAAGGAUGUGACCUUUGAAAAGGACAAGCUUUGUAGUGCAUGUCAAGCCAGCAAGCAAGUUGCAAACACUCAUCCAACCAAGGCAUAUCUCUCUACUUCAAGACUGCUUGAGCUACUCCACAUGGAUUUAUUUGGACCAACCACAUAUGCUAGUCUUGGAGGCAACAUAUAUUGCUUAGUCAUUGUUGAUGAUUACUCCUGGUAUACUUGGACAUUCUUCUUGCAAGACAAGGCCAAAGUUGCAUCCAUAUUCAAGAAGUUUGCAAAGAAUGCCCAAAAUCAAUUUGAUGUCAAGAUCAAGAAGAUAAGAAGUGACAAUGGCAAAGAGUUUGACAACACCAACAUUGAAGAAUAUUGUGAUGAAGUUGGAAUCAAACAUGAGUUCUCCUCAACAUACACACCACAACAAAAUGGGGUUGUAGAAAGAAAGAACCGGACAUUGAUCACCUUGGCAAGAACAAUGCUAGAUGAGUACAACACUUCGGAGAAGAUGUGGGCUGAGGCAAUCAACACCUCAUGCUAUGCAUCAAACUAGCUCUUUCCUCACAAGUUCCUAGAGAAGACACCAUAUGAGUUGCUCAAUGGGAAGAAGCCCGAUGUCUCAUUCUUUAGAGUGUUUGGGUACAAAUGCUACAUCUACAAGAAGUGACAACACUUGGCCAAGUUCCAAAGAAGAUGUGAUAUUGGCUACUUGGUUGGCUAUUCAUCAAAGUCCAAGGCAUAUAGGGUCUUUAACCAUGCCACAAACAUGGUUGAAGAAACAUUUGAUGUUGAAUUUGAUGAAACUAAUGGCUCCUAAGGAGCUAGUGAUAAUCUUGAUGAUGUAGGUGGUGAACCAUUGAGGGAUGCCAUGAAGAACAUGUCGGUGGGGGACAUCAAGCUAAAAGAAGAUGAUGAUGUGCAAGUCAUUGAGCCAGCACCCACCUCACAUGUGCCACAAGAUGAAGACAAGGAUGUGAGAGAUGCCCAUGAAGACACUCAAGUCACUCAUGAGCAAGCGGUGGCACAAGCACAAGAUGUUGAUGCUCCCCAAGCAACCCCUCAAGUGGCGCCAAGAAGAUCAUCACAUCUCCUCCAAGAUCACUCUCAAGAUCUCAUCAUCGGGAGUCCAUCACGUGGUGUAACUACACACUCUAGACAUGCUUUAUUUAUUGAACAUCACGCUUUUGUCUCUCUUCAAGAUGAACCAAAGACUAUAGAGGAAGCUCUUCGUGAUGUGGAUUGGAUCAUUGCCAUGCAAGAGGAGUUGAACAACUUCUCUCGCAACCAAGUGUGGACACUUGAAGAGCGACCCAAAGAUGCAAGAGUGAUUGGAACAAAGUGGGUCUUCCGGAACAAGAAGGAUGAUCAAAGCAAGGUGGUGCGCAACAAGGCAAGGCUCGUGGCAAAAGGCUUUUCACAAGUGGAAGGUCUUGACUUCGGUGAAACCUUUGCACCGGUGGCAAGACUUGAAGCAAUCUGUAUCCUACUUGCAUAUGCAUCUAGUCAUGAUAUCAAGUUGUUUCAACUGGAUGUGAAAAGUGCUUUUUAAAUGGUUAUAUUAAUGAGCUUAUCUAUGUUGAGCAACCCCCUGGUUUUGAAGACCCUAUGUACCCCAAGCAUGUCUAUCGGUUGUCCAAGGCUCUCUAUGGUCUCAAGCAAGCUCCUAGAGCUUGGUAUGAGAGGCUUAGGGACUUUCUCAUUGAGAAGGGCUUCAAGAUUGGGAAAGUUGACACAACACUCUUCACCAAGAAAAUGAAUGGGGAAAUCUUCAUUUGCCAAGUUUAUGUUCAUGAUAUUAUUUUUGGCUUUACUAAUGAAGAUUUUUGCAAGGAAUUUGGUGAUUGAUGUCCAAGGAGUUUGAGAUGUCCAUGAUUGGCGAGCUAUCCUUCUUCCUAGGAUUUCAAGUGAAGCAAAUGAAGGAAGGAGUCUUCAUCUCUCAAGAGAACUACACUCAAGAUCUUCUCAAGAGAUUCAAGAUGAUGGAUUGCAAGCCAAUCAAGACUCCCAUGGCAUCAAAUGGGCAUCUCGACUUGGAUGAGGGAGGUAACCCAAUUGACAAGACUCUCUAUCGUUCAAUAAUAGGAAGUCUACUCUACCUCACCGCAUCUAGGCCCGAUAUCAUGUUUAGUGAGUGUAUUUGUGCUAGAUAUCAAGUAAUGCCUAUGGAUCUCACUUGAUUGUCGUUAAGAGAAUUCUUAGGUAUCUAAAAUACACACCUUGCCUAGGCUUGUGGUAUCCCAAAGGUGCAAGAUUCCAACUUGUAGGCUAUUCCGAUUCGGAUUAUGUCGGGUGCUGCAUUGAUAGAAAAAGCACAUCCGGAGGGUGCCACUUCCUAGGUAGAUCACUUGUCUCUUGGAUGUCAAAGAAACAAAAUAGUGUUGCCUUAUCAACGGCCGAGGCGGAAUACAUUGCCGCCGGUGCUUGUUGUGCACAAAUACUUUACAUGAAACAAACUUUGCUAGACUAUGGAGUAGUACUAGACAAAGUACCUUUGUUGUGUGACAAUGAAAGUGCCGUAAAACUUGCAAACAACCCGGUUCAACACACCUAUACAAAACACAUUGACAUCUGCCACCACUUCCUUAGGGAUCAUGUUGCUAAAGGUGACAUAUCUCUAGAGAAUGUGGGAACAGAAAAUCAAUUGGCGGAUAUCUUCACAAAACCCCUAGAUGAAGCUAGGUUUUGUAUGUUAAGAAAUGAACUCAAUGUGCUUGAUCUCUCUAACUUCUCUAAAAAAUGAAGUUGUGUGUUGACCUUGUAAAUAGCUUUUGUUUUGCAUAUCAUGCAUACCAAAACUAAAAAUACAAAAAAUUGUGUGUAGGGCUUGCCUAACAUGGUUAAGAUAACCCCCUUGUGUGUGUGAAAAAGCUUAACCUUGGAUCAAACUUGACAAGCCUUAGUUUACUUUCAAGUAUUGCAUUUCACCUCAUAUCAUAUGCAUGCUUGUUAGUUGAUCGUUUCUUUUUGGUUAUGCUUUGAGCAUCCGCUGUGUUCGUCCAUAGAUAUGGGGAGCAUUCAAAGCUCAUUAUGAUUUUAAACUCCUAGCUUUAUGGCCACACGAUGCUCCUCGGUGCUUUCUCUUGACUAUUUUCAUAAAAACUACUAAGCCUAAGGCUAAAUAUUUGUGAAAAUUUGAGGGUUUGAGAGAGAUCGCUCAUACCAGUUACAAUUGGUGUUUAUUUGAGUCUUCUUGAAGUUGGAACUUGGUUGGGUAAAAGUCGGACGUAGUUCUAAGUUGAAAAACAAGCCAGAGGUGCACCGGACGAUGCACCGGACUCUCCUGCAGAGCAUCCGGUGUGGUGAGUCUGCUGGACAACACUCACCGGAUGCAGGAACAGUGUCCCUGCAGCAUCCGGUGAGGUGUGUCCGGUGCUCAUCCAGGCAUGCCCUAGGGCACCGGACGCUAAAGCCAGCAUACGGUGGCCAUCGUCCGGUGAUCGGGUCAUCUGGGUUUCUCUCUGUGUUUUAGUCCGGUGGUCACCGGACGCGUCCGGUGCCACAUAAAGAGCGUCCGGUGGCCCCGUGGACAGCCCAUAUAACCUACGCCCGGAGACUUUUCGCGCAGGCAGUUCUUUUUCUCCCGAUCUCCUCUCGAUCCGCCGUCAGCCAAGCCCAUGCCCUAACUCGUUGUGAAAACUCCGCCGCUGAUGGAUUUGAGUUUCCUCUGCGGAUGUUCCUCCCCCCGCGCCAAAUCUGCUCUAAGGAGCCCUCCUCUUUCCUCUCCUCUCGCAGGAAUCCCCAUCUCGCGAGAAGGUUAGGUUUUGGGUGAGUUCUUGGACCCUUGCCCUCAAGGUGUUUGGUUUUAUGUGUCAAUGGAUUAGAACGAGGUUUUUGACCUCGGUUUGCUCCGUUUCAUCUGUGCAGCACCUUGAGGAGUUGAUUCGUGUUCUCCGGUGGAUUGCGUUCGAGAUCUUUUGUCCGGAACACGUCUCAUCUUUGGAUCGUAAGCCGUUCACGCCCGUUCCUUAUCUAAAUCUUGCGAUCUAUAGGGUUAUCUCAUCUCUAGCUAUUAUGUUUGCUUAUGUAUACCCUAUCUAUUCCAUCUCUUGCAGCGCGUUGAUCUCUCUCGGCAGUUUGUCAGUUGCUUAGUUUUUGAUGGUUUCAGAGGCAGUUUUCUUGCAAUGGAACGUUGCAAGAAUGUUAGUGGUCCGGCAGCUAGCACUGGUGGCUCUCCAGGAGGUGAUGGUGGAGGUGAUCCUCUCCGUGUCCUGUCAGCGGUAGAGAAGGGAAAAGGCAAGAAGCUGGCCACCAAGAAGAGGAAGGCAAGUGACAGAGAGGCUGAGGUGGCCGAGGCAGUUGCAGCAGCAGCUGAGGCAGCAGAGAGGGGUGGACGCUCAGGUGUCCUGAGGAUUAGGGCCGAUCUCAUGCCACGGCAGAGGCGUGCAGUUCUUCAGGUUGAGGCGCUUCAUGGAACUCCACCUGGCACCAUCAUGCUAGGGGGUCACCCUGUUCGCAUUGACGUGAGAGAGUCAGCUCAGGAGGACACAAACACCGAGACUGAGACAGAGGUCCAGGCAGAGGGCCCAACAGAGGCUCAGUAGCAGGAGCAGCCCCUCAGGAGGUCGACUCGCACGCGUACCCAGGCCAUCCCUAGGACUGGUACGCAGGGCCAGUCUACCUCCACUGCUCGCCCUACUCCAGCACAUGGUACUCCAGCUCCACGUCCAGCGCCAGUGAGGAUUCACAAGGACUACACCCAAGCCUUCGCUCGAGAGAUCCAGGAGCUACGAUUUGUUCCUUUUCCUACUUGGUUUCCGGCUACCAGAGAUCCGAGAGCCAGUGCCAGAUUCUAUACAGUUGUUCAGGAGGAUCUGUAUGAGGCAUUCGUCCGCUCAGAGGCUCAGUUCAGGGAGCACAAGGUGCUUGACCUUAAGGUGCUUUGGAAUGUGGUCGGUGCGGACAUCAGGCAAUGUUUCACUUAUCUGACCGGUCUCCUAGAGCUGCUUGCUUUACGUGGUACCUAUUGUGAGGAGUGGGUCUGGGAGUUCUAUGCCUCAGUGUGGGUUUCUCCAGACCGUAGCUACAUCCACUACGCACUGGCAGGCACAGACUAUAGGGUGUCAGCUCGGAGGGCUAGAGAGGUUCUUGGAUUGGUAGCCUCUUCCACUCGGAUCCAUCAGCUUUGCUAUGGGGACUUCGAGCCCCCUCGACGACCACAUGGUGGUGAUCUACCACCGGUUGACCUAGUGGCUCCCUGUUUCCAUCAACCCUUUGGAGAGGGCUCCACCAGGAUAGUGGGUGAUUUGACACACCCAUCCAGGAUCCUUGACUUUGUGUUGAGGAAGACUCUCUUUCCCAGGACAGGCUACAGAGAUGGCUUCACCAGGAUCCAGCAGUGGUUAGUGGCUCAUUUGAUUGCUCUGCGGCUGUUUGAUCUGUGGGACUUGAUAGUGUCAGAGAUUGAGGACACUAUAGCAGAGAGCUUCAGGGGUCGUCGUCACCUGCCAUACGCACACUGGAUCACAUUGCCUAUACUUCAUGCUAGGCCAGAGCCUCUUCCAGCUCACCUCUAGAGAGAGCUAUCAGAUGCUGACACUGUGUUCCCCCACUACGACCCCCAACAGAUGCUGAGAGCGCAUCAUGACCUUAGAGCCCCACCACCUCCUCCAACACCAUGUGGCCAGGUGCCACCACCUUCACCGAGGGCUACCCGCAGUUCAGGGGCAGUCCAUGAGACAGAGGAGGAGCAGGACAUAGCCAUUGGGGCAUUUGCAGAUGCUGAGGCUGAGGAGGAGUUUGAGUUUGCUUCGGAUAGCUCAGACGAUGAUUAUCGUUUCCCUGUGCUAGAUCUUCCUCCGAGGCAGCACGACCACGAGGCAGGAGGUUCGUCCAGUGCUACAGAUCCAGCGUUGCUAGCUAUUCUCGAGGGGAUGAGAGCCAAUCAGCGGAAGGCAGCUGAGGAGCAGGCUAGGAGGGAUAGGGAUCAGGCUGCCAUCAAUGCAGCCAUACAGGCCAGGCAGGACAAGCUCCAAAGAUAGUUUCUAGCUUUCCAAGCACAGCAGACUGCGAUGAUGGCGGCUCUUAUGGCUGCUUCAGGGAUUCAGUUGUCUCAAAUUCAGCUUCCAGGCACAUCUUCAGUCAGGCCACCGACUCCAGUAUCUCAGCCGAGUCACUUUCAGAGUUAGUCCCAGCCGCCGCUCCAGCUCCCUGCUCAGAGUCAGCCAUUCUCGACUCCUCAGCACCAGGUCUCCUAGGGUGCUAUUUAAUCUAGCUUUGAGCAGGUACCUUAGUUUACACCUCUGUGCUCUGGAUUUACACCUCAGUCAGCUACAGCGUCGCAGCUAGUGUUGGACUCCUCGAUAGGGUAGCAUAUCAGCUUCUCCUACAGUGCUCUGACUGGUGACCCUACUCCUUCACCUCUGCAGGCUCCUGCAGCUUUUACGGUCCCAGUUACCACUACUGAGCGUCUAUCGUCGUUAGUAGCUUCGUCUGAGCAGCUUGCACCGUCAUCCAUAGUGCUAGAGAUGUCAGCUACAGCGACAGAGUCCGUGUCAGCUUCGUCAGCAGGACUUGAGCAGCCAGCACAGCCCGUGACAGCUUCAGAGCCCACAGAGCCGACUGUUGAUGGUCCUUAAUGCUCACAUUUAAACAUCAACUAAUCAUAGAAAAGGAUCCAAAUGCAACCAACACCUAGACUUAGGGUUUUAUCUGACAGAAUUCCACAAGUUUUGGUGUUUGUCUCUUUCUGCAGGGGGUUAUCAGGAAAUACGGAAGAAAGGCCCACACGUCGGGUUUACAUAGAGAUAUUAACGUGCCGCGCAAUUUUCUACCAUCUAGAAGACUCCAGAAGCCACGGGAAGGAAGCGGAGGCCGAAAGGGGCCAGGCACUGGGCGCCCGCCAAGUUGACCUGGGCGCCCGCCCCCUCCUAGAGUCCAAACAGGACUCUCUUUUGGGAUCAAUCUCCACCGACCUAAAGGAUCAAGGAUAACCAUUCAAUCAAUGUCGGUUUGAUCCAACGGCCCAUAUUCACUUGAAGGGACUAUAAAACCAGACCCCCUGGCCCCUGGAGAUCAUACCUCUUCUACAAAAUCAAAGCUAGGGUUUCAAUUCUUCAUCCAAGUAGAGAGGAUCCCUCUAGUUCUUCUAGUUCUACCUCUAGUUCAUCUAGAUCUAGUUCUAGUUCAUCUAGUUCUAGUUCUAGUUAGUUCUAGUUGUAAUCUAGAAAAUAGGGAGAGAGAAGAGGAGAGCGGAGGAGGAGCCGGAUCUGUCGGAUCUUCCUCAACAUUGUACUUUUGCAGCAACUGGUUCGUUCUUCAUCGUUCUCCAGGUUCUUCAAUUUAUAAUUCCUGAGUUCUCUAAUUACUUUUAUUUACAUUCAAGUUAUUUAUUGGAUUCCUGCUUGCAUCAAGUGCUCUAAUCUUUGAAACAUUAGAGUAGUAAUUAAUAGAUUAUACGUGGUGUUUAGUCUUGUAAUUACCUGGAAUUGCACCCAAUCCUGCGGAUUGUUGUGGUAGCCUUAGGGUAGUGACAGCCCUAACGGUCGACGUAUUCCACCUCAAUCAAAUCGGUGUUUGUAGGACCAUAGUCAGACCUUCCUAGCCCAGGCCUUCUCAUCUCUUUCUGUGGUUAGUGCUCUGAUGUCCCGAAAUAGAUAAUCUUUGAAGUAAUUCUUGAUUCUUAGAUCAACUAGAGAACUCUCAGGAAACUUCCUCUCUUCCCACCAAAAAUAAUUAUAUAGUUAUCCUUGGGCGAUCUUGAUUCUUAAUUAGUACACUCACGUUCCCUGUGGAAAAUCGAUACUCUGGAAUACUCCCGGGUGAAAGCUACAUCGGUAUCCGUGCGCUUGCGGAUUUUUCUGUUUGCGUUUAAAAUACCCAACAAGCUUUCUGGCAUCGUUGCCGGGGAACGGUAGCUGUGCUAGUUUCGAACCAAGUCGUCCGUGUAUCCUUUUUCUUUUCCUUUUUUACCACACUCACCUUACCAUUUUCACCACACCACAUGGAUUUCUCUCUAAGCAUUAAUGAGCAUGGAAUUUAUUUCAUAGCCACUUCAUUUACUCCAUGCUCAUAUGCAACAUCUUCACAAUCCAUUGGUCUCUCCAACAUCACCACAUUCGAGAUCUCCAACCCGUCUUCCUUUCUAUUUAUAAAAACUUUAAAAGGGCGGUUGUCGAUGCAUAUGUCUAUAAUAAAUUUUGCAGAUCUCGUUGAGUUGAUCUUGAUAUAGGUUAGCGUUGGAGGGGAAACCACUUCGCCGACAUAAAUUGAUGGUUUCCCAAGGACAAGCUUAGUGUCCUAAAAUAAGCACUGAUCAGAUCGUAACAUGAGCUUUUAUUAUUUGCAACAUUACCUUGUGUACUGAGCAUAUAAGGAUAAUUGUAAAAAUAUUCCUUCGGGUAUUCUUGUCACUAACCUUUCCAGGAUUGGAGCAAGAAGAUCGGAUGAAUGACAAGCACAAGGUUUGUCCAACCAAUCAUCAUACAACAUUGAAUUAAAUUCAUCCAAACUUGAAUUUUGGAAAAUGCAAGCUUGGGGGAGUACUUUAUAUAAAAACAUCCUUUGCCAUGUUGCUAUGUUGGUUGUCCCUACCUUUGAGACAUGCUCAAUUUGUUAAAUACUAAUCACAUUACUUCAUCUUCACUUGAGUAGAUCUCUAUAAAAUGCUCUCAUGCUACAUUUAUUUGCUUUAGUAUAUGUCUAGGUUUGGAGUAGUUUCAUUUAUCUCUUAAUUAAGCAUGGUGCUUAGUUUAGGAAUGAUGAUCUUACUUCCAAGGGAUUUUAAAUUAAGCAUAGUGCUUAGGUUAAAAUGCCCUUCUAAAUCAAAUUAGACAUGGUAUCUAGGUUGAUUUUUGAGCCGAUAGUAUGCUAUAGUAGACAUUGGAUAUUUUGUUGGACUAACCCCUGCAGGAAAACAUUCAAUAUCGACCUGGGAAGUCCUGAGAUAAACUCACAUGGGAGACAAAGAGAGAGACACAUAAAGUUUAACAAUUUACACAAGGAAGACAUAGCUCACAAGAGAUGAUCCAUGGAGGGUGCCACAAACACGAUGCACAACCGCUAAGAAAGGAAAGCUUCCACAAGGAGAUACCGUACCAUCACUCUUCAAGUAAGGUAACAUCUUAAGGUACUUGACUAUCACUUUUAUAAGCUUCUCCUUGGUUCUGGCGUUCACAUGAAUAAAAGAGACAAACAUGUAUGAUUUAUAACUCUAGAUUAACCAACCGAAUCGAUUCAACAUGUUUAGUCCUUCCACCUUUGUGAUUCCACACUCCUAAUCAUAUAAGCUAAAAUGUUGCACAUUCAAUCUUUGGAAGAUACAAACAAAACAUAAAUAUAGAUAGAUUAUCUUUCCAUUAGGUUGAGCUAUCUGAUAUGACAAAUGCUUUAAAUGCUACACUCAUAAUCUUAUUAUCCAUCAACUUUGUCUUGCUCACUAUGCUUAAGGUUAGAGAAGAACAAAUACACUUUUCGUUCUAUUGGUGUUUUCCACCAACAGAGCCCAUGCACUUGAUCUCUGCCUUGUCUCUAUGAGCAGGUACACUUCGAGCAAAAUAUGAAGGAGUUUUACAACUCCCAGACUCCACCAAGUGAAGAACCUAGAUCUACGAGCACACACACACACUGGAGAUACUGGACACUCAGGCAAUCACUGCCCUGAGAUGCUUAAGGACGUAACUUCUGGAGUAACCCCAUUGUGGAAGUAAUUACUGACCUUCUGCUGGUCAAGACAGACAAUCCAGGACGCCCCGUCAUACCGAUCUCCAUCGGCAUGGUGGACUUCCUAGAAGCACUCUGCGACUUUGGCUCCAGUGUCAACAUUAUGCCUAGGGUACUCUAUGAAAAAUUCUUUACACAUCCUUUAUUAGAAACAGCCAUGUGUUUGUAGCUUGCAGAUCAUACGCUAAGUUUCCCAAAGGGAAUAAUGAAGAACCUCUGCGUCCGAGUUGGUACCUUGUACGCCUAGCAGACUUCGUGGUGAUAGAAACCGGUUCUGAUGAGGAGGCACCCGUCAUCCUAGGGAGGCCAUUCCUGAACAUCUCGGGAGGUGUCAUCUACGCUAGUGCUGCCAAGAUCAGAUUCUACAUCAAGGGGAGGAAGAAGACGUUUUCCUUCAAGAACAAGACUACACAAAUCUCAGAGCAUUCCCGACAUGAACUAAGGAAGAGGACCAACAGGAGGAACAAGAAUAAGCAAAUGUGGACCGAGUUAGCUAAGAUAGUCACUGCAGUUCAAGGAGGUCAAGAUCGUCAACUCAAGUCACCUUUCUUGAUCAAGAAGGACGACCCUGGUGUUCCAAGCAUCUAGUGCUCCAUUAAUAGAUACAACUUCUAGAAGAUGCUUUGCGACACCGGGUCAGGCGUCAACAUAAUGGUCGCAGUCACCUAUCAGCUCCUGUUCGGAACCGUGCCCCUAGAACCGACAUACAUUCAGCUUCUGAUAGCAGAUCAGACAUUCCGAAAGGUUGAAGAUUUUUAGGUUAUUGACAUGGGAGAAGACGAGUACGAUCCACUCAUCCUUGGGAGACCGUUCCUCAGCACCGUUAAAGCAAUCAUCUACAUUGGAACCGGAGAAGUCCACAUGCACUUCCCCUCUGAGAAGGUACGCCACUAUUUUACUGACCCUAACUAUAUAGUUGAAGACUCUAGGCAGGUCAGGACAAGAAGAAGACAACGCAACCGCAACCAGAGGAGGCAAAUCAUCAAGGACGGAUGGGCAGACUAUGAAGAAGAAGUAGUAAGGUCUAAAGACAUACAACUUGAACAGAACGGUCCUGAGGAGACCGUAGCACCGAGUCAGGUGUGUAGAGAGAAGAUAGUUAUACAAGAAGAGCAGGCGCCGCCGGAACCACCGACUACGCCAUCCAGCGAAUCUCAGGAUGACUGAGAAUACGUAGAGUUCCGUUCGGAGGACUUAAACACACCGAACGCCUUGCCAAGAGGUAAACUUGGUAGUUAUCUUUUCAAUAGUUUGCUUAGUUAAUCAGGUUUAUAUCAUCUUGAAAAGAAAAUAAAAAUGUUAAAAAUAGUAAGCCCCAUGUGAGUAUGAUCAUGGCAUAAAACCCAUAAGUACAUUCACUGUGGUGGCAUAAAAAUAAAAUAUAUAUAUUCCUGUCCUAUAAAAAUAAAUUUAUAAAAAUAAAUUUAUGAUCCUACUAAAGAGUGUAACAUUUAUUGAGGAGGCUCAACAUGAUAAAGGCUAGAUAUUUAUGCUAACACUUAACUAGUUCCACAAAGCUUUGUUGUCUAUUUGAGCUCCACAGAAUUCAAGGAUCAAAGAAGACUAGCAGACGGAGGACAUCCUAAUCACUGUCAAGGUGCUGCCAACAUUCAAAUACACCUCCGCCACCUACUAGCUACAUCAGAAGAAAUUACGUCAAAAUCCAGCUUGGGGGAGAGCACCCCCAUUUAUCCAGCUUAGUAUUCUACUCACAUUUAUACUUUACUCUAAUAAUAAAAAGAUGCAUAAUCAUAUAAACCCAAAUAAAGAUUUUGUGCUUAUAUAUAUAUCUUUGCUUAGUUUGCUAAAUAAAUAAAUAAAUUAAGUCUGCUAUGAACCCUCAUGAUAAGCUCUCACAUGGAAAUGAUGAAUAGUUGCUCUGCCAUGACUAGUUCUCAAAAUUGAAAUCUCUCUCAAGUUUAGGCAUAACUGUUAUUAAUUAAGAUUUGCUCUAAACCUGAACUUGUGGGAAGAGUACUUGAUCUAAAGUCUAAGUUGUUAACGGAUACGAUAUGGGAAGGUUGAGCUACUGUUUAUAUGUUCUUAGAAAUGCUAGAAUUCUGGAGAAUUUUAUCUUUUAAAAUCUUUAAAAUAAUACAUGAUGAGUUCCUGUAUGAUGAGAGUUUAAAAUCCUACCACAGCCAUAUAUACAUGCUUGCUAAACUUUGAGCCACACAUUUACUUUUUACUGCUUAUGAGCAUUGAGUGUGGUCAAGCUGUGUAGACCCUUAGGAGCUUGUCAUGUGGUUAAAUCAAGAUUCACUUGCACUCACACAUGCUGCUUCUAUUCCAGAAGUACGCAUCCACAUAUAUCCACCUAUUUCCAUCUCCAGAACCACCCAAAAAUAUUCUACUCCUAAUCCGGAAGAGAAUAGCCAUAAACAUUUCUGUUUUUCUCCUAUGAAAUAAAUGCUCAAGUUAUCUUGGUUACUACCACUUGCUACAUUAUUUCAAGAGAUGAGUGCUCUAAAAAAAGAGAGAGAAAAAAGAUACGAGGAAAUAAAAAGGGGCAAGUGCCCGGAACCUCGAAAGAAAAGAAAAAGUGAGACAAGAGGUAAAAAUGGACAAGUGUCCGACAGUAGAAUUAGGGGUACAAGAUACCCACCUGAGAGAAAAGAAAAAGAAAAUAUAGAGCAUCUCAUUCUCCUCAAAAAGUUUCGAAAGAGCAAGAAAGGUAUGUAUCCCCUCAAAAGAGCACAAGUAGAAUUAGACUUUCACCAUUGUUAUCACCAUCAUACACCAUUCAUUCGCCACACAUGCACAUCUUGAUUUGACUUAUUGACUUGUUCUUCUGGAUCCAUGGUUUGACUAUGCAAUAAAUGUCUUGUAAGUAUGUAUUAGCUGUCUCCCACCUAUGAGCUCUAGAUAUCAAAACCUUAUUAGAGUAGGGUGAGAGAGAAGGCAAUGCCACUAUGCCUUAUACCACAAAUACCACAAACUUUGAGAGAAGGCAUAUACCAUCACUGCCUUGGUAAGGAUCCAGAAAUACCACA
rnacentral:lncRNA from 1 species